rnacentral:sRNA from 13 species
AAAGACUAGAUUUAUAAUUUCAUCGUAUCAUGACUGUGGACCAUACCAAGAAAUUCCGUGAACCAUAAAUUGUCAAAAAGCCCAACAUCCUGCUGAAUGCAUGGAUAAAAAAGUUCAGGAUCUUGAGCUCGUGCUCUGACAAACACAAAUCCAGGCCAGCCUGGCAUUACAAGUGAGAUGGGAGAAACCCAUUCCAGGUAAAAGCCUCGGGAGUUAAGUUGACCUGGCUGUGGCCUUACCCUUUAGCUUACUUAAUGAUAGAGGGCGCUACGAAUCCCCUCAAAGCACAUCUAGCUUUGUAUAGUUAUUCGUUAGCAGAUUCUUCAAUUUCAAACAGCCAUGUCUCAAGCACGACGUGCAAAGCCCGGAGAUCGUAUUGAAAUUAAACGCGGAGGAUAUUCUCACUGGGCCAUUUAUAUAGGUGAUAACAAGGUAGUUCACCUCACAGGGAUUGGUGGUCGAAUCCACAGCAAUGCUGGACACGUUUUCAGUAUUAGUGGUCAAACGUAUGACAAGGCAGUGGUAGCUGAAGAGUUGAUUGGUGAUGUUGUUGGAGAAAGUAAAGCCUACAUCAACAACGAACGUGAUGAAACUUGGAAGUCAGUGAAUAUUAAGAUUAUGAUUAUAGAAUUGAAAUGUUAUUG